rnacentral:rRNA from 1 species
CUACGGGCGGCAGCAGUGGGGAAUAUUGGACAAUGGGGGGAACCCUGAUCCAGCCAUGCCGCGUGUGUGAAGAAGGCCUUUUGGUUGUAAAGCACUUUAAGCAGUGAAGAAGACUCUUCGGUUAAUACCCGGGGACGAUGACAUUAGCCGCAGAAUAAGCACCGGCUAACUCUGUGCCAGCAGCCGCGGUAAUACAGAGGGUGCAAGCGUUAAUCGGAAUUACUGGGCGUAAAGCGAGCGUAGGUGGCUUGAUAAGUCAGAUGUGAAAUCCCCGGGCUUAACCUGGGAACUGCAUCUGAAACUGUUAGGCUAGAGUAGGUGAGAGGGAAGUAGAAUUUCAGGUGUAGCGGUGAAAUGCGUAGAGAUCUGAAGGAAUACCGAUGGCGAAGGCAGCUUCCUGGCAUCAUACUGACACUGAGGCUCGAAAGCGUGGGUAGCAAACAGGAUUAGAUACCCGUGUAGUC